AUUGAACGCUGGCGGCAUGCUUUACACAUGCAAGUCGAACGGGCUUAGGGGCUUGCUCCUAAGUUAGUGGCGAACGGGUGAGUAAUGCAUCGGAACGUACCGUGUAGUGGGGGAUAACCCGGCGAAAGUCGGAUUAAUACCGCAUACGAUCUAAGGAUGAAAGCAGGGGAUCGCAAGACCUUGCGCUAUACGAGCGGCCGAUGUCGGAUUAGCUAGUUGGUAGGGUAAAGGCCUACCAAGGCAACGAUCCGUAGCGGGUCUGAGAGGAUGAUCCGCCACACUGGGACGGAGACACGGCCCAGACUCCUGCGGGAGGCAGCAGUGGGGAAUUUUGGACAAUGGGCGAAAGCCUGAUCCAGCCAUGCCGCGUGAGUGAAGAAGGCCUUCGGGUUGUAAAGCUCUUUUGUCCGGGAGCAAAUCCUGUUCACUAAUACUGAGCGGGGCUGAGAGUACCGGAAGAAUAAGCACCGGCUAACUUCGUGCCAGCCGCCGCCGUAACAC
rnacentral:rRNA from 1 species